GGGGUUUCUGCUUUUGCUUCUUCCUUAUUUUUUCUCUUGCUACCGCCACGUAAGAAGUGCCCUUUGCCUCCUGCCAUGAUUCUGAGACCUUCCCAGCCUUGUGGAACUGUACACCAUCAGAGAAAGAAUGCCGAUUUUCGCCUAUCCACAAAGCUUGGCAAGCUCUUUACUGGGUAAAGGCCACUUAGCUCAAAUUCAGUCAGCUGGCUCCAUCGGACCUCGAAGUGUUUGGGGCUUAACUGUACUGGAAGAGAAUGUUGUAUACACAGCCCUGCUGCAUUUUCUCACAAUGGGUUCUAGCUCUUCCCUUGAGGCCUUGGGAAAGAACUGCUGGAGUCCUUUAUGGCCAGGAAUCCACCCUCUCCCAGCCAAGCUCUCCUUGCCUCCACAGCACAUAGGAACUCAUUUACUCAUUCAUCUCUCCAGCCAACCAUUCCCCCACCAUCCUUCCAUUCUGCAUGUAGCCAACCAACCUGCCAGCCAACAUAGUUCUCACGCUUUCAUUCAUCAAAUGUUUAUCGAGCCCCUUCAGUGUACCAGGCUCACUGUUACAAAGCCAGAAUCUGGAGCCAUUGCUGUCUCUAUGUGUGUGUGGACUCCAGUGGUUCUCAAACUUGGCUGAAGAUUAAUGUGGCCUGGAGCCUUUAAAAAUCUCAGUCCUAUUCAUCGUGUUAGGGACACACAGAUGAAUAGGACUCCUCGCCAUUAAGGAGAUUACAUCUCAGAAAUUUUGCUUCAAAGGUAGAGGGAGACCAGAUAUUAAAGCUAUGGUUGAGAUUUUAUUCUCUUGCCCACUAUCAAACUCCUACUUACCUGUCAAAACCCGACUCUAAUAUGCUCAGCCUCCAAAACUCCUCCCCAUUCACCCCAGGAGAUUAGAUAUUUCCCGAGUGUCUUACUGUGUUUGUUCAUGGCUUGAUUCCAGCCUUGUUGUUGCUAUUUGUAUCUGUCUCCGGUGAGGGCAGCAAGCAGUCUUUCUUAAGUGUAUUUCUCGUGCUGAGCCCAUGCCUGCUGGGCAGCGGUUUAGUGGCUUUCUAACUUUUGUGAACCGAAGAAUCACCUGGGAAACUUGUUAAAACACUGACCCCCACCCCGCGCCCCCUGCCAGCUCCACCCCCACGUGGUCUGACUCAAUAGGUCUGAGAUUGAGGCUUAGGAAUUUGCAUUUUUAGUAAGUUUCUUGGGUGAAUCUGGUAUAGGUUCUCUGCAGAACACACUUUGAUAACUAUUAUGCCGGUGACUCCAUAAAAGUUUUUUGAAUGAAUAAAUAAAUAAAAACCAAGGAAUUAAAGGUCAACAAAAAGUCUGGGCAUUUAGUAAGGUCUGUGGAUUGCAUCCAUGUUAACUUCCUGGUUUUGAUAUCGAAUAUAGUUAUAUGAAAUGUUACCACUGGGAGAGACUGGGUGAAGGGUAUGUGGGGCCUCUCCUUACUAUUUUUGUAACUUCCUGUGAAUCUAUAAUUGUUUCAAAGUAAAAAGUUAAGAAGUCUGUGGUUUUCCCAGGCCUCAAGGAUGUAGAGUGGUAAGUUGCUUCAGACCACUGAUGAACGGACCUUUAACUCCACCCUCUAGAGACAUCAACCCACAGCUGAGUACAAUUAAUCAUAGACUUAAUUAUCAUGAAGAAAUUCUCUACUAUACCUUUCAUUCUUUG